GUGAAAUGGUAGCUGGAUGUGCUACCUAGCCAAAUACCUGGGGAGUUUUCUGUUUGUAAUGUAAAUUAUAUUUCUUUCCUUUGUUAUUGUUCUGAUUACCUGGGGAGUUCUGUUUGUAAUGUAAAUUAUAUUUCUUUCCUUUGUUAUUGUUCCUACCUUGGGAGUUUUCUGUUUGUAAUGUAAAUUAUAUUUCUUUCCUUUGUUAUUGUUCUGAUUACCUGGUGAGUUCUGUUUGUAAUGUAAAUUAUAUUUCUUUCCUUUGUUAUUGUUCUGAUUACCUGGGGAGUUUUCUGUUUGUAAUGUAAAUUAUAUAUUUUUCCUUUGUUCUUGUCAUGAUUACUUGGGGAGCUUUCUGUUUGUAAUGUAAAUUAUAUUUAUUUCCUUUGUUAUUGUCCUAAUUACCUGGGGAGUUUUUUGUUUGUAACGUAAAUUAUAUUUAUUUCCUUUGUUAUUGUACACUUGGAGAGUUUUCUGUUUGUAAUGUACUAAUGUGGUUAUUGUCCUGAUUACCUAGGGAAUUUUUUGUUUGUAAUGUAAAUUAUAUUUCUUUCCUUUGUUAUUGUUGUGAUUAUUUGGGGAGUUUUCUGUUUGUAAUGUAAAUUAUAAUUCUUUCUUUUGUUAUUGUCCUGAUUACCUAGGAAGUUUUCUGUUUGUAAUGU
rnacentral:lncRNA from 1 species